AGUGAACGCUGGCGGUAGGCCUAACACAUGCAAGUCGAACGGCAGCACAGUAAGAGCUUGCUCUUACGGGUGGCGAGUGGCGGACGGGUGAGGAAUACAUCGGAAUCUACUUUUUCGUGGGGGAUAACGUAGGGAAACUUACGCUAAUACCGCAUACGACCUACGGGUGAAAGCAGGGGAUCUUCGGACCUUGCGCGAUUGAAUGAGCCGCUGUCGGAUUAGCUAGUUGGCGGGGUAAAGGCCCACCAAGGCGACGAUCCGUAGCUGGUCUGAGAGGAUGAUCAGCCACACUGGAACUGAGACACGGUCCAGACUCCUAAGGGAGGCAGCAGUGGGGAAUGUUGGACAAUGGGCGCAAGCCUGAUACAGCCAUACCGCGUGGGUGAAGAAGGCCUUCGGGUUGUAAAGCCCUUUUGUUGGGAAAGAAAAGCAGCAGGUUAAUACCACGCUGUUCUGACGGUACCCAAAGAAUAAGCACCGGCUAACUUCGUG
rnacentral:rRNA from 1 species